rnacentral:tmRNA from 1 species
GGGGGUGACUGGUUUCGACUGGGGAGAGUAGCUCUAGGAGAAGCGGGCCGAGAAGCCAAGGUCGACUCGUUAACGUUCCUUGGAAAACAAUAAGUGCCAACAAUCGCACUGACUUCGCUCUCGCUGCCUAAUUGUAGUGAUCGAAGGGUCAGCCCGGAUGUAGCCUUCCGUCCGGUUCCUGGCCUCGUUUAGAAGGCUUGCUGCACGUCUUUUGCUUGAGGCGGCGUGCGGGACUUUUAUCAAGCUAGGCUUGGCUGCAACUUGCCGACAUGAGUGCAGAAGCCGAGAAUCCCGAAAACGUCGGCUGCGCCCGGAGAAAACCUGGACUGCCUUGUCAGGACGCGAGUUCAAUUCUCGCCACCUCCACC